GGAAGAGUACAAUUCAGAGUGUGUGGAUGGAUAUUUUGCAGACCUGUAACGAAGCGAGUGGGGUUGGUUCAACUUUUCCUGAGGGGAGACAGGAGUUUUC